ACUCCUACGGGAGGCAGCAGUGGGGAAUAUUGGACAAUGGGCGCAAGCCUGAUCCAGCCAUGCCGCGUGAGUGAUGAAGGCCCUAGGGUUGUAAAGCUCUUUCACCGGUGAAGAUAAUGACGGUAACCGGAGAAGAAGCCCCGGCUAACUUCGUGCCAGCAGCCGCGGUAAUACGAAGGGGGCUAGCGUUGUUCGGAUUUACUGGGCGUAAAGCGCACGUAGGCGGACUAUCAAGUCAGGGGUGAAAUCCCGGGGCUCAACCCCGGAACUGCCUUUGAUACUGGUAGUCUUGAGUUCGAGAGAGGUGAGUGGAAUUCCGAGUGUAGAGGUGAAAUUCGUAGAUAUUCGGAGGAACACCAGUGGCGAAGGCGGCUCACUGGCUCGAUACUGACGCUGAGGUGCGAAAGCGUGGGGAGCAAACAGGAUUAGAUACCCCUGUAGUCCC
rnacentral:rRNA from 1 species